CAACGACACUCUGGAGAGACCGGCCGCCUUGCGGCAGCGCCGGCGCCGAAGGGGCACGAAGCACGCGACCUCCUCGUCGGCGCGCUUCCAAACUCUCAGGCAAAAGGACAGAGGGGCAUCC
rnacentral:ncRNA from 2 species